rnacentral:ncRNA from 2 species
UACAGUUCUCAGGGCGGGGUGAAAUUCCCCACCGGCGGUAACGGGGCAUGCCCCCGAAGCCCGCGAGCGCAACGGGUUUCCAGCGGAAAUCCCUUGGUCAAGCAGAUCUGGUGUAAGUCCAGAGCCGACGGUCAAAGUCCGGAUGGAAGAGAGCGUAA